UGAAUACGAGACGCUAAGGCGUCGAAGUAGUGUAUGUCAUACUUCCAAGAAAAGCUUGCACUGUCAUAGAUAAAAAACGCCUGUACCAUAACCGACACAGGUGGGUAGGUAGAGUAUACUAAGGGGCGCGAGAUAACUCUCUCUAAGGAACUCGGCAAAAUAACUCCGUAACUUCGGGAGAAGGAGUGCCUUAUUCGUAAGGUUGCAAUAACAAGAUCCAAGCAACUGUUUAUCAAAAACACAGGUCUCCGCUAAGUCGUAAGACGAUGUAUGGGGGCUGACGCCUGCCCAGUGCCAGAAGGUUAAAGAAGUUGGUUAGCAAUUGCGAAGCUGAUAACUGAAGCCCUGGUGAACGGCGGCCGUAACUGUAACGGUCCUAAGGUAGCGAAAUUCCUUGUCGGGUAAGUUCCGACCCGCACGAAAGGCGUAAUGAUUUGGAUACUGUCUCGGAGAGGGGCUCGGUGAAAUAGACUUGUCUGUGAAGAUGCGGACUACCUGCACCAGGACAGAAAGACCCUAUGAAGCUUUACUGUAACUUGAAAUUGAAAUUGGACUUUAUUCGCGCAGUAUAGGUGGGAGGCGUUGAUUAUAAUCUUGUGGGAUUAUUGGAGCCAUCAGUGAGAUACCACUCUUGUAAUGUUAGAUUUCUAACUUUGAAUCAUUAUCUGGUCAAAGAACAGUUUCAGGCGGGCAGUUUGACUGGGGCGGUCGCCUCCUAAACGGUAACGGAGGCGUACAAAGGUUUCCUCUGAACGGUUAGAAAUCGUAUCUAGAGUGUAAAGGCAUAAGGAAGCUUGACUGUGAGACCUACAAGUCGAGCAGGGACGAAAGUCGGUCUUAGUGAUCUGACGGUACUGAGUGGAAAGGCCGUCACUCAACGGAUAAAAGUUACUCUAGGAUAACAGGCUGAUCUCCCCCAAGAGUUCACAUCGACGGGGAGGUUUGGCACCUCGAUGUCGGCUCAUCGCAUCCUGGGGCGGUAGUACGUCCCAAGGGUUGGGCUGUUCGCCAUGAAAGCGGUACGCGAGCUGGGUUCAGAACGUCGUGAGACAGUUCGGUCCAUAUCCGGUGUAGGCGUUAGAAUAUUGAGAGGAGCCUUCUUUAGUACGAGAGGACCGAGAAGGACAUACCUCUGGUGUACCAGUUAUCGUGCCAACGGUAAACGCUGGGUAGCUAUGUAUGGAGUGGAUAACCGCUGAAAGCAUCUAAGUGGGAAGCCCACCUCAAGAUAAGUAUUCCC
rnacentral:rRNA from 1 species